UCUAGAGGUUCAAGCAUUCAGACAUACCCACCUGCUAUAUCCCCUGAGUUCCUGGUCCACCUCCCCUCAAAGGGAUCCGGAAGACAACCGAGGAUCCGGAAGACAACCACACCUACUCACACUGCUACCAGCCAUGCGAUUGAGGAGGAUUCAUGUCGCAAUGACAUUUAUGCUGGUUGCUUGACAAAAGUGGUUGACCAAUAGAUAUAAAGAGUUACUCUGGAUGACCAACAUGGAGGGAGCUGGCUGAUCAUCUCAGUAAGACUGGAGAGGAGCAACUUGCAAAGGAACUAUGAGAUUGCAGGUGGACUUCUACAUCUAUCAGAGCAGGGCGGUCAACCAUGCAGUGAGAGCCUGCAUCUGUACUGCAGAGCUGGGCUAAGGUGA